rnacentral:tRNA from 1 species
UCCGUCAAUAGUUUAGUGGCUAGAAUUUUCGCCUUGUCAGGUAUUACACCAGCACGCGGGGGACCGGAGUUCAAUUCUCCGUUGCGGAG